rnacentral:misc_RNA from 1 species
GAUGAAGAACGUAGCGAAAUGCGAUACUUGGUGUGAAUUGCAGAAUCCCGUGUACCAUCGAGUCUUUGAACGCAAGUUGCGCCCGAAGCCACUAGGCCGAGGGCACGCCUGCCUGGGCGUCACACGCCGUUGCCCCCCCAUCUACUCCUUCGGGAUUGCGGGGGGGCGGAUGAUGGCCUCCCGUGCGCCUAGCCGCGCGGUUGGCAUAAAUACCAAGUCCUCGGCGACGCACGCCACGACAAUCGGUGGUUGCGAAACCUCGGUUGCCCGUCGUGUGCGUUCGUCGCGCAUCGAGGGCUCGAAAAAAUGCUCGGCUCCGGCUGGGCUUUCAACGCGACCCCAGGUCAGGCGGGGUUACCCGCUGAAUUUAAGCAUAUCAAUAAGCGGAGGA